GGCUCACCAAGGCGACGAUCCGUAACUGGUCUGAGAGGAUGAUCAGUCACACUGGAACUGAGACACGGUCCAGACUCAUACGGGAGGCAGCAGUGGGGAAUAUUGGACAAUGGGCGAAAGCCUGAUCCAGCCAUGCCGCGUGUGUGAAGAAGGUCUUCGGAUUGUAAAGCACUUUAAGUUGGGAGGAAGGGUUGUAGAUUAAUACUCUGCAAUUUUGACGUUACCGACAGAAUAAGCACCGGCUAACUCUGUGCCAGCAGCCGCGGUAAUACAGAGGGUGCAAGCGUUAAUCGGAAUUACUGGGCGUAAAGCGCGCGUAGGUGGUUUGUUAAGUUGGAUGUGAAAUCCCCGGGCUCAACCUGGGAACUGCAUUCAAAACUGACUGACUAGAGUAUGGUAGAGGGUGGUGGAAUUUCCUGUGUAGCGGUGAAAUGCGUAGAUAUAGGAAGGAACACCAGUGGCGAAGGCGACCACCUGGACUAAUACUGACACUGAGGUGCGAAAGCGUGGGGAGCAAACAGG
rnacentral:rRNA from 1 species